UAACAACAUACAACACAAAAACAAGUUAAUAUUUUGAAGUUUUUUAUCUCACAUUAUAAUAUGCUUUAAAUGUUGUACUUACAUGUAUUGAUCGCAUGUGUAAUUAUCCUUCAGUUUUCUGUCACAAAUUACACCAAAGGUGAAGAAAUAGAGACAAUAAGCACAACAUACUUAGAAACCCCAAACAAUGUUGUCAUUGGACCAACCACUACGCCCAGAAUCACAUCAAUAUGCAAUAGUAGGUGUCACCGCUUCAAAGGAAUAUAAACUAUCCUAUUCUUUUUUAAAAAAAUCUAUUUUCCAUAAUUUUUAUUACAUCCAUUUCAUAAGUCUAUUAGGUUUAUCAAAU